GAUGAACGCUGGCGGCGUGCCUAAUACAUGCAAGUCGAGCGAACGGACGAGAAGCUUGCUUCUCUGAUGUUAGCGGCGGACGGGUGAGUAACACGUGGAUAACCUACCUAUAAGACUGGGAUAACUUCGGGAAACCGGAGCUAAUACCGGAUAAUAUUUUGAACCGCAUGGUUCAAAAGUGAAAGACGGUCUUGCUGUCACUUAUAGAUGGAUCCGCGCUGCAUUAGCUAGUUGGUAAGGUAACGGCUUACCAAGGCAACGAUGCAUAGCCGACCUGAGAGGGUGAUCGGCCACACUGGAACUGAGCCACGGUCCAGACUCCUACGGGAGGCAGCAGUAGGGAAUCUUCCGCAAUGGGCGAAAGCCUGACGGAGCAACGCCGCGUGAGUGAUGACGGUCUUCGGAUCGUAAAACUCUGUUAUGAGGGAAGAACAUAUGUGUAAGUAACUGUGCACAUCUUGACGGUACCUAAUCAGAAAGCCACGGCUAACUACGUG
rnacentral:rRNA from 1 species